CGGGUGAGUAAUACGUGGGUAACCUGCCCCGAUGAUUGGGACAACCCGAGGAAACUCGGGCUAAUACCGAAUGUGCCCUUCGACCGCAAGGUCGCUGGGGAAAGGAAGCUUCGGCCUCCGCAUCGGGAUGGGCCCGCGGCCCAUUAGCUUGUUGGUGAGGUAACGGCUCACCAAGGCGACGAUGGGUAGCUGGUCUGAGAGGACGAUCAGCCACACUGGGACUGAGACACGGCCCAG
rnacentral:rRNA from 1 species